rnacentral:ncRNA from 1 species
AUAGAUAAAUUUUAUAUAGUUUAAUUAAAUUUAUUUUGUAUUUAUUUUACAUAUAAAUUUUAGUAUGAAUAAUUCUUUAUUUUAAUAAUAUUAAUUAUGUUUGUAGUAAUUAAUAUUAAGUAUUUAAGAAAUUAAGAUUUAGUAAUAUAUAAAUUAUUAACAAAUUUUGUGCCAGCAGUUGCGGUUAUACAAAAAUUAAAUUAAAUUUUUUUAGUAAUUAAUAAUUAAUUUAAAGCUUGUUUAAAUUAAAAUUAAAAUUAUUAAGUGAAAUUUUAAUUUUAUAUUAUUUUAUUUUUAUUAGUAUGAUUUAAUAAAUUUUAUUAAUAAACUAGGAUUAGAUACCCUAUUAUUAAAAAUUUAAAUUUAUAAUACUAAAAUAGUAUGUAAUUUUAUUGAAACUUAAAUAUUUUGGCGGUAUUUUAGUUUAUUUAGAGGAAUCUGUUUAUUAAUUGAUAUUCCACGAAUAAAUUUACUUAAUUUAUUAUUUUGUAUAUCGUUGUUAAAAAAAUAUUUUUUAAUAAUUUAUAUAAUAUUUUAAUAUUAAUAUUUAAAAUUAAAUCAAAUCAAGAUGCAGAUUAUAAUUAAGAAUAUAAUGGAUUACAAUAAACUUAUUUAAAUGAAUUGUUAUUUUGUAAAAUUUAAUUGAAAGUGGAUUUAAAUGUAAUUUUGUUUAAUUUAAUAGAAUGAUUAAAAUUUAAAAUAUGUACAUAUUGCCCGUCGCUUUCAUAAAUAAAUUGGAAUAAGUCGUAACAAAGUAGAGGUACUGGAAAGUGUUUCUAGAAAGAU